AGCGCUUCUUUGCGGAGGUCAGGAAGCUUUAAGGUAAUGCAAUCAACUCUCUUCUUCAAUGAAUUUUAUUUUAUUUAAUUUUUUUCAAUUCCAAUUGUCUUUGAUUGUAAAUGAUCGUUUCCUGAUUGUAAUAAAUUACAACCAGUUGACGCAUUCUUCGUCGGAUCUGAACACUUCUUUGCGGAGGUCAGGAAGCUUUAAGAUAAUGCAAUCAACUCUCUUCGUCGUUGAAAUUUUUAAUUUUCAAUUCCGAAUGCCUUUGAUUGUAAAUUAGAGUUUAUUUACCGUGAGGAUUUAUUCAUUGUUUUGUAAGGGUCAUGAUAUAUGGAUCGACAUAAAAAUUGGGUAUCCAAUGAUGGUUGAGGUCAAUUUUUAACUCUUGAUGAUUUGUCGGAGAAAUCACAAAUUUAAUUUAUGUUGGUUAGUAAAUAUAUGCUAUUGUAUAGUAUUAGUAGUGAACGCCUGUAUUAAGUUUUACGUUGGUUUUCAGUAUCAGUUCCUCUGCAAUUACAGUCAUGAAAAUGUGCUAGUUUAAUAAGUCUUGAUUGGGAAUUAUACUGAGGAAUGAUGAUGCAUUGGCCCUUUUGUAGUGAUUGGGAGUUAAUGGAGGGCCUUUUUUAAUAUCCUUUAUUCCGUGAUGACUCAGAUAUCUUCUCUUAAUUAGAUCCGGAACAUGAGAGGUGACCAAAAUUGUGCAUGAAAAAACAUGGUUUAUGCGGUUUGAUCAAAAAUAGAGUAAGGAAUUUCAAAGAUGUAUAAAUACUUAUCUUUUAAUACCUUUUAUUUCAUGUUCCAUUCUUGUUAUGGUAAAGUACUCAUCUUAUUCUUGACUCUAUGCAUGUUUUCUCAUUCUUUUGGUGGGUGGUAAUGCAGAUUACAGAAUAUCACGA
rnacentral:lncRNA from 1 species